rnacentral:lncRNA from 1 species
GUGUCGGCAGAGCAUCCCUCGUGGGUCCGGGGUGAGGUGUCGGCAGAGCAUCCCUCGUGGGUCUGGGGUGAGAUGUUGGCAGAGAAUCCCUUGUGGGUCCGGGGUGAGGUGUCGGCAGAGAAUCCCUGGUCCAGGGUGAGGCGUCGGCAGAGCAUCCCUAGUGCAGGCUGGCAUGGCCACGGGGACAGCUCCAAUCAGGCAUUGGCUUGGAUUUGGGGAAUUCCCUCUGGCUCCCAUGGGGCUUCUAGAAGGAAUCGAGGGAAAUUGUGGAAGUCCCUUCAGGCUGGGUGGGUCCCACUUUCCAAAGGCAACACGCAGGACAGCCUGCGUCUGCUUGGUGACGUCUAACAAGGUCUGGGCAACAGAAGCCCUGAGUGGGAACUGCCGCACCUCGGUGGAGAUCCAUAGAGGAGGCUGGUGGGGGCACCAAAGCCCAACUCACCUCUCUCCCUCCUCUCCUGUCCCCAGUGGGGGACUGGGCUGAGGCACCUGCCCAGGGCUGCACUGUCCAAGCUUGCUAUGCCCCACACCAACUGG